GCCCCAGUGGCCUAAUGGAUAAGGCACUGGCCUCCUAAGCCAGGGAUUGAGGGUUCGAGUCCAUCUGGGGUG
rnacentral:tRNA from 1 species